rnacentral:rRNA from 1 species
UAACGCGUGAGCAAUCUGCCUUUAAGAGGGGGAUAACAGUCGGAAACGGCUGCUAAUACCGCAUAAAGCAUUAAAUUCGCAUGUUUUUGAUGCCGAAGGAGCAAUCCGCUUUUAGAUGAGCUCGCGUCUGAUUAGCUAGUUGGCGGGGUAACGGCCCACCAAGGCGACGAUCAGUAGCCGGACUGAGAGGUUGAACGGCCACAUUGGGACUGAGACACGGCCCAG